rnacentral:rRNA from 1 species
AGAGUUUGAUCCUGGCUCAGAACGAACGCUGGCGGCAGGCUUAACACAUGCAAGUCGAGCGCUUCGCAAGAGGAGCGGCAGACGGGUGAGUAACGCGUGGGAACAUACCCUUUACUACGGAACAACUCCGGGAAACUGGAGCUAAUACCGUAUGUGCCCUUCGGGGGAAAGAUUUAUCGGUAAAGGAUUGGCCCGCGUUGGAUUAGCUAGUUGGUGGGGUAAUGGCCUACCAAGGCGACGAUCCAUAGUUGGUCUGAGAGGAUGAUCAGCCACAUUGGGACUGAGACACGGCCCAAACUCCUACGGGAGGCAGCAGUGGGGAAUAUUGGACAAUGGGCGCAAGCCUGAUCCAGCCAUGCCGCGUGAGUGAUGAAGGCCUUAGGGUUGUAAAGCUCUUUCACCGAUGAAGAUAAUGACGGUAGUCGGAGAAGAAGCCCCGGCUAACUUCGUGCCAGCAGCCGCGGUAAU